GGGAGAGAGGAGAGGAGGAACAGAGGUUUGGAGAGCACCAUGGGUUGGCAGGGUCGUCCCCGAGUUCCAGUGGUGUGACUGGGAGCCUAGGUGAUAGAGAUUGUAUCUCACCUGAGUCCAGCCAGAACAGCAACCAAGCAGAUCACCACUCUUCAGGAAUACAGUCUGAUGGUGGUUCUUUGGUGCCAGGCCCAUCUCUGCACUGUCAGAAAAUCGCUCGUGCCAAGUGGGAGUUUCUGUUUGGCACUUCUGCAGAAAACACUGCCAACGAACGAGAGAAGAAUGUUCCAGAAGCCUGUACAGCACCACCUAGUGGCCACUCCACCCCAAUCUUGCCCACUUUUCUGCCACUGGAAGAGCUCGCUCUCAGAGCCAAUCAUGAUGUCCAACACGUGGAGGUGGAGCUUGUGACUCCGCCCCCAGCGACCCCAGGCACCUCGCCCAAAACUGGA